rnacentral:miRNA from 1 species
UCGAACAGGUUCAAGGCAUC